GACGAACGCUGGCGGCGUGCUUAACACAUGCAAGUCGAACGGUGACGAGGAGCUUGCUCCUCUGAUCAGUGGCGAACGGGUGAGUAACACGUGAGCAACCUGCCCCAGACUCUGGGAUAACAGUUGGAAACAGCUGCUAAUACCGGGUACGAGACGGAGAGGCAUCUCUACCGUCUGGAAAGUUUUUCGGUCUGGGAUGGACUCGCGGCCUAUCAGCUAGUUGGUGAGGUAAUGGCUCACCAAGGCGACGACGGGUAGCCGGCCUGAGAGGGCGACCGGCCACACUGGGACUGAGACACGGCCCAGACUCCUACGGGAGGCAGCAGUGGGGAAUAUUGCACAAUGGGCGAAAGCCUGAUGCAGCGACGCCGCGUGAGGGAUGAAGGCCUUAGGGUUGUAAAGCUCUUUCAGGGGGGAAGAUAAUGACUGUACCCUCAGAAGAAGCCCCGGCUAACUCCGUG
rnacentral:rRNA from 1 species